GAGACAGCAGCGGCGGCGCCCCUCUCUCCCCCUCUCAAAUCUUCACUCAAAAUCGGCCGGAUCUUAAGCUUUUUGUCGUGGAUUUCGUCGCCCAUCCAUCCCUAAAGGAACACUUCGAGCAUGGUCACGCGGUAGGAAGGAUGCCAAAAGCAGGGGUGUAGAUGUCCACGGCCGUUGUUGCCCAUCAGGACCCUCUUCGGCAUCUUCACUGACGGGUCUGCUGAAUGAAACAAAGAUAUUGGGGUGCUGCUGCGUAAUAACAGGAUGACACUUCUCAGUGAGCAUUAUGAUAAGGGUCACCGUGGGCGGCUUAUGGCGGAUGAGAGACAGGU